ensembl:lncRNA
UCUUUAAGUUCUCCCCCUUCUCCCCCCGAACACAAGUCCUUCACGUUCGUGUUGCUUUCGCACGGCAUAAACAAACUGAAAUUGUCUUCCAAGAGGCGCUCCGACGCAGCUCUUAGCUCAGGUUUCCUGUAAGCCCCAAAGCCCUGGAUCAGGUUGGGUUUAUGGCAUUUUCUGCUGCCCAACAGCCACCUCGUGGGAACGGAGGAAGGACCUUGAAGGUCUGUUUUAGUCUGUGUUUCCUUCUUUCUUGUUUUCGAGCGCUUUUUGGUGACUUUCUUACCAAAGCACUGGUUUUCUUACUGCAUCUCCCAAGGACCUACUGCUCCCUGCACCAAAAACCUGCUUUUAAUUUGCUGAUGAGAGCAACGAGGCAGAGAUGGGGCAAGGAGCUGCCCCACAGCUCCACAUCCCCCACAGUCACAGCCGCAGCACUGACACUUCCUACAGCUCCAAACAUUCCUCUUUGCAACGGGAGCAAAGGAAAAAAAAAGAGCUGCAUUUCUCCACAGGUCUACUGAAAUAACGGAGAAAUGUAUCUACAGCCACAUUUGUACAGCGAGGUGGUGGAGUCAUCGUCCCUGGAGGUGUUCAAGAGCCGUGGAGAUGUGGCAGUGGGGGACAUGGUCUGUGGGCAUGGUGGGGGCGAGCUGGGGGUGGGGAUCUCGGAGGUCUUGUCCAACCUUAACGAUUCUAUGGUUCUAUUAUUUUUAAGCUCAAAUCAUCUUGUGCUCUCGCCUUCAGAAUGUCUCUACAGGGCAGCUUUUUUGGGGAGCAUCCCCCAGCUUUAUCACAGCAGCUUCCUGGCCGAGGUGCAGCUUUCAGGAGGAAUAUCCAGCAAAGCCAGGAGGGCAUUAAAAUCGGCGUCCGAAGAAUCCCAAACAUGAAGAAAUAGUGCAUACCCAUUUGUUUUUAAAAUGUAAUGAAAAAAAUACUUUAAAUACAGGAAGAUUAAUAAGGCUGUAAUUCAGCAAAGUGCUUACAGAUGUGCUGGGCUCAGAGUAAGUACUUCAGCGCUUUCAUGAAUCGGGGCUUAGGGACUGAGCUUGAUACAUAGAAAAAGUACUGAAAGACAUAAUUUGCUGUCGUACCUGUGGCUUGUGUUGCACAUGAAGCUGACGGGACACACGUCAGCUCUGGUGAUAUACAGGUGCACAGGUUUCCAUUGCAUCCCUGUGCAACACCAUGCUGUGUGAUGGUCCUUGAUUCACAGAAACACUUCAAAUUUAGGAAGGGAAAUGAGAUGAGGAAAAAAAGUGGAAGAGCGAAAAGCAUGACAUGAUGUCUAAUCUCACAGCAGCAGCUUAAGAAGGAGUUACAGGCUUGGGAUUAACACAGAGCAGUCCUUGCUGAAGACCCUACCAGAUUUUUACAAAGCAGGGUAGUGAAGCAGCAGAGUUGAAAAAGCAACUAUCAAAUAACUGUAUCUAAGCAGGGAAAAGAGAAUAAAGCAUAAACAGCAUCGAAUACAAAACCACAAUAGGAAAAGCUAAAAGGAUGUUACAGAACUGUUUGCCAAAGGCAAAGGAUUUUAAGGAGAUUCAGAUAUGACAACACUGAACAAGUCAAUAUGGAUUCAUAGGGAUGCAUCUGAUGAGCCUGAUACACUGGGGAGAGGGCAACAGCAGCUUUUGCAGGCAGAAGUCAAAGUCUGUAGCAUGUUCACACCCUCUGAAGCAGCCAAUGAACAUGAUCACAUAUCGGGAUCUCGUUUGAAUUUUGCCACGCAAGGGCUCUCAAAGAAAUAAAAGUCGUGUGAAAAAGGAACAAAGUAUGUCAUGCCUUAGCGGCUGGCUGCAAGAGAAUUCGGAGGCUUGAAGCUCUUCUUUUUGUGGUGAGGAGAGGUCACUGCUGGGACAUCGUGGUGCUGUUGGGGACCUUGGCUGGGCAGCUUGCUGGUGAUGGAAAAGUUUGCUGAGAAGCCAAAAAUUUUAAGCUGACUGCAAAGCGUCAGCAGAAGACCUAGCAAGAAAAUGUCCAAGUAAAGUACAUAGAGAAGAUGACCUUAGCCAUAUCUACCUAAUGACUGGCUCUAAUUGAGCUAUUAUCAUUCAGGAAAGACAUCAUGAGAUUUUACAGUCACUGUAGGUCCUUCUCUUGCAGCAUUAGCCCAGAGAUGAACAGAAGUCUAGAAGGUGAAUAAAAUGUGCAAAGGAGCUCUUGCACUUAAAUUGUGUCUCUUCUUCCAAUGUCAUGUGUACUUCUAGGAAAAUCUGUUCUGUCUCUGGAUGGAUGGUCAUCAUCCAUCUCCGUUGGGUAAAGCCAAGGGUGUUGCUCUGCUCUGUGCCUCAGCAGCUCUCCCAUCUCCCCUUCGAUGAGCAGGGACACCUACAGCUCCAUCAGGUGCUCAGAGCCCCAUUCAGCCUGGCCUUGGGUGUCCGCAGAGAUGGGGCACCACCGCCUCUCCCAGCAAUGAUGCUCCACACUCAGGGAGGCUAGAGGAGCAGCCGUGUCCACAACUACAGAGCUACGUUCAACCAGCCCAUAAAUCAUCCAACAGACGCGAAGAGAAUCCCAAAUCGGUGCAGGAUAUAAAGCUGGGAUGCAAUGGGAACUCUGUUGUCUCAUAGCAGCAAACCUCAGACCCAAUCCUUGCUCAGUUUGCUGCCACUUAAGGAUUUCACCCACCAGCAAUGCGAGGACACCCACAGAGCCAGUUAAUUUCACAUAUUUCUGCUACAGAGAAUGAAAUGCGAUUUAGAAAUUAUUGCAUAUUAAAAGAGAGCGGUCCCCCAGCUGCUGUUCCCACUGCAGAUAUCCAGCUGCAGAUAUCCAGCAUCCUGCAAAGCUCCAGCACAGUCCCAUGAGCGUCACUCAGCAGCAGGGUGCAGCUCCCACACCCCUCUCACCCAGCAUAUUUGUGUCAUGCUGCUGUGUGCACAUGGUCUUAGAGGAAAAGGAAAACAGCGUUUGGCUGAGAACCAUAGGAUCUAUGGUUAAUAACUACUCAGGAGUUCAGACUUCCCUGGCUGUGAGAACUCACAAUUAAUGUUUUCUCAUCUCGUUGGGGUGAAGAGGGCUGGGUCGUAGCUGGGUAUGUUAAAAGCAGCACUUGGUCUGCAAAGUAUAUACAUCAGUAAGGUCUUACAGCUACCUCCUAGCAUCUGAUAUUCUUUUCAUUACUGUAAUUCAGUAAGUGAGCGCAUUGCCAGGUGCUCCUGGCAGGCCUCCAGGCUGCCUUCAGCCCAGCGAUGGCUAACCUUGGCGAAAGGCUGGAAACCCCAAAACCUUGACAUCCGAGCAUGAGAAAGAAAGAAGCAAAAACAAACAGAACUCCACGAAAACCAAACAACAGGCGGGCACAGAUGUCAGGAAGAUGCAGCAAAAGGAACAAUGUCCUGCGACAUCCUGUUGGGUCGAUGUGCGAGUGCAACCCCCAGCACUGCCUUCCUCCCAGCCGUGGGAGCCUGUGUGGUUAUGGAUGCUCACCUCUCCCACGCCUGCACGCUGUGGGCAAUUAUGAAGUCGUUAGCUCUGUAAGCUGAAAGGAUCGCUGUUGUCAGGAUCGGCUGAGACGCCGGUUGAGUUGUCAUUAUUAUGGGCACUUUAGCAGAUGGAUGGCCAAAACUGUAUUUGCAGCAAUAAGGUAAUGACUGAGAAAUGCAAUUCUGGUAGCCCCCUGAUUGCUGCUGGCUUUCACUGGCAUCAUUAGGAGAUGAAGAUGCUUCGUAGCUCAGCAGACAAUGCCUUCCCUUAACAAAGCAGUGGAGUUAUUUCAGGAAAGGGUGAGAAUUCCUCACCUUUAGGUCCAGGAAAAGGCACAGCUAUAUGCAGAGUUGCAGAGAUUUGACAGUUAAGCUGGGGAAGAUGUUGUACAAGAACUACGGAAGAAGCUCUGAAAAGACCACAAAACUUUCUUCUUUCUUUUUCCUUCUGUCAUUAAGGCACACAAGAUGACUGAAAAGAGGCUUUGAGCAGAAAGAAAAUCAACAUGGAUUCGAUGCUAGCCAUUAGCACUCAUAUAUACAGCAUACAUUCAACCAAAGAAACCGAAAAUAUGUUAUGGAAGGAAGAACAGGCAACCACUUGGCUAGCUUAGUGGGCGUAAUGGUGAUAGGUUGAUGGUUGGAUGAGGUGAUCUUAGAGGCCUUUUCCAACCUUAAUGAUUCUGUGAUAAAAAUCAUCAUCUGCCUUUUGGGAUGAAGAACACCCCAUUUCAAGUGGUUUACUCAAAAUAAAGCAUCCAGACAUAGAAUCAUAGAAUCAAAGAAUGGCUGGGCUUGGAAGGGACCUCGAGGAUCACGAAGCUCCAACCCUCCUACCGCAGGUAGGGCCACCAACCUCCACAUGUAAUACCAGCCCGGGCUGCCCAGGGCCCCAUCCAACCUGGCCUUGAACACCUCCAGGGACAGUGAUCCCACCACUCCCUGGGCAGCUGUGCCACUGCAGCACUGCUCUUUAGGAGAAGAAAUGUUUUCUAAUAUCCAACCUGACCCUGCCCUUGUGCACCUUAAAACCAUUACCUCUUGUCCUAUUUUAUGGCAAAACACCCAAAAAUGCCUUCAGGAAAACACACACAGACCAUUUUCUUCCCUGCAAGCUGUGAAACCCGCUGCUCCGCAGCACAUGACGGAGCCGCCGAUAGGAGCACACUGACAUCUUCCCGAGGAAGAACAGGAUGUGACAGCCCUGCAGGAGUUACACAGCAUGGUUUGCGUGGUGCUGGGAACAGAUGGGAGCAAAGCCACAGGGAGCUGCCUUGCUCCAGAGUUGGCCCAAUGUGUGAACCAGCAGUGAGCCGGACCCAGGGCUGCCCCUUCAGCAGCAGCCAAAACCUCACUGAGCUGCUGCCUGCUGCCCCUGUACAUCUUCACUUUUGCCCAUCAAUAACUUCAGGAUGCAAAUGGGGCAUAUGGGAGCUGGAGACAGCAAAACAAAGGCAGGGGCCAUGGGCAAUUCACAGCAUCAGAAACAGCAAGAGGUUCUCAUUAUGCAGAGGUCGCUGGCUGAGCGCGGUGCUACAUUUAAAUAUUUCAGUGCAUGCUCGCCUGCAUCCUCCCUGCAAUGCCUGUGUGUGUAUGUGCGUGCAGGCAGGAGCUCCUCCGGGUUGCAGCAGUGUUUUGGGUGAGAUAAGGAACAAACAGAACAAGCGCAGAUGCCCCCACUUAGCACUGCAUGAAAACUUUAAAGCAGACCUGAGCAUCUUGGGAGCUCACAGCUUCUCUCCUCCCUGUGCUCGCUUACUGAUGCUUUGAGCCCUGCAUAGUAAAGAUAAAUGCUUCUGCAUCCCCAGAGCCAUGUGGGAUCCAUGCUGGCACUAAUAGAUGCUGGCCACAGGUGUUGUCCCACAAGGGUCCGUCUUGGGACCAGCGCUCUUUGACAUCUUUAUCAAUUACAUGGACGGUGGGAUCGAGUGCACCCUCAGCAAGCUUGCAGACAGCACCAAGCUGAGCGGUGCAGUUGGUACAACAGAAGGAAGGGAUGCCAUCCAGAGGGAGUUGGACAGGCUCUAAAAAUGAGCCCACAGGAACUUAAUGAGGUUCAACAAGGCCAAAUGUGAGGCGUUACACUUGGGUCAGGGCGAUCCCAGCCAUGAGUACAGACUGGAACAAGACACCCUACCCCUGGAGAUGCCCAAGGCCAGGCUGAGUGGGGCCCUGGGCAGCCUAAUCCAGUGGGAGGCAACCAACCCGUGGCAGGGAGUGGCACUGGAAGAGCUCUGAGGUCCUUUCCAGCCCAAACCAUUCUGUGAUUCUAUGAUUCUGACGCACCCACAGUGCUCAACAGUGUGCUCUGGGUGUCACCUCCACCACCAUCUCCCCUGCACCCACAGGACACGGCUGGCACAGGCAGGGCGGAGAGGACAACGUUGGGCAUUUUUUCCCUCCUACUCCUCCUCUUUGCGAGCAUGCAGCCGUGAGAGGGGACAUUGUCAGCCUGCUCGUAGGCAGCACAAAGCGGUGGCUGUGCUGGCCUCCUUAUAAAAAUUCAAGGCUGUCCUCCCUUUUCCUGGAGGUUGCAGUGCUUUCACACACACGUGCCUUUGUUGUGCCUACACCCUGUCCCAAAGUCCCCACAGCCAGCUCAGUCCUGCUACCCACCCAGAAAACAUCCAGUUUGGAUGCGAUCGAGCAAAACAAGGACAAUUUGGGAGGAAGCUUGAAAAUGCAUUUCUGACAAAAAAAGAAAAAAGAAAAUAAUAAAAAAAAAACAUAAAAACAUCAGUUCUGUUUCCAGCAAUUCUGCCAGUUCAAACCUUCAGCUGGGAGCGCUGGCAGCCCAGUUUUUCCCCAGAUCAGCACCUCGAAGCCUCUCUUUGCCGUGAGCAUGGCAAAGGGCACGAUUCUGGGCUUCCCAGGAGACUACUUCGCAGGUGAAAUCUGGAGAUUUUUGCUUCUCCGUGGCCACUGAGGUCCCUAGGCUGGAACCUGUGAUUUUCCCCAAUGGGUGCCCAUUCGUACGGUUGCCUCCCUUUAGGUACUAAAAGGCUGGUGCUGGGCUUUGCUUGGUGCUUUCCCGCUUCCCCGUCAUCCAGGAUGUCAUUCUUCUCUUUUCUAUUUUUACCCAAAUCCUUGACAUCUUCAAGUCAGCAGCCUGGAGGAAAUGGAUUAUCCCGGCAGUGGCAUUGCACCGUUCUGGCCCCAAGAAAACUUCUCCUUCCCAGGGCUCACCGCAUUCCUGACCUGGCUGCAGCCCUGCAAAAUAGGAAACACGGUGCCCAUUAGCUUUGUUCACUAAGACUUUGUGAUUAGUCACCAUAUCCUUCCCGUACAUGGGAAACAGCAAGAAAGGAACAUCUCCUGCUGGAUUUGCACGUUUCAGCACACACAGCCUAG